rnacentral:ncRNA from 6 species
CGUAGGUGAACCUGCGGAUGGAUCAUUUU